GGGGUAUAGCUUAGUGGUAGAGUGCAUGCUUAGCAUGCAUGAGGACCCAGGUUCAAUCCCCAGUACCACCG
rnacentral:tRNA from 1 species